UUUCCUUGGCUCUGCUCGCUCGUCUACGCUCCGACCCAGCAAGUAAUAAUUGAAAAACAAUGUUUCCUUUCCUGCAUUAAGAUUUAAAACUUGUCGCAAAAAAAGGCAAUCAAUCAAAAUCAAGAAAAAAUAUGGAAAUAGUGAAUCAAGAUCUAGAUGGAUCCCUAUCUUUAUCUCUAUCCACGGAGAUACCUAUCUAUAUGGAGAGAGAUCUAUCUAUGAAUCGGCCUAGACUAUCCUCUAUCCGGAUAGAUAUGUCCCUAUGAGCGACUACGCCGAUCUUUAUAUGUUUUGGCCACGUCCCUUUCCGCUCCGAAGAAGAAGGUUUGGAUCUUUCAAU
rnacentral:lncRNA from 1 species